CACUCCCACCUCUGAUCCCCAAGCCCCUCACGCACGUCUCCUCUCGCACCACACGCGCACGCAACCGCCUCCUCCACUCCUCGUUUCUCCCGCUGAGCGGCGCCGAAUUUGGGGUGCCAUCGGGAAGACAACAGCGAGCGUGAGAGGCAGCGACCAGAUCGGAGUCCGGCACAGAAGAGAGCUAGCGCGCCCGUGCCGUCCGGCGAGGAGGGGGAGCACCUGCGCCCUGUGGAGUUCAUCCCCGGCGCCCGCAUCCUUGUCGUCGACCUUGCCCGCACGGCAGGUCGCCACUGCUGGCCGAGGCCACCCAGGUCGACACCACCCCGUCCGGCCUGCAGCACAUCCUUCUCGAGGACAUGUGCUUCUGAGCGAUGAAGACUGCGAGUGAUUGGACAUGCAAUGGCCUAGCGAAGUCAUCCGCGUCGCGACGCCACCGGUACCGAGGCCUGGGCUCGGGCAUCCACCACGGCGUCAGGUGCGCCGCCAGGGGUUAUUGGGACCACGGGAAGUCAGGUCAAUGGUUCUGGCGAUGCCAAGCCGUAGAUCUGAGCCGCUGUCUCCACUUCAUUUCCUCCAUGCUUUGAUCUACACCUCUACCCCACUACCUCCCUGACUACCUCGCCUUCUCUCACGUAAGCUCGAAAUCUGAGGCGGUGAAAUCCCUCUAAGGUGGCAGAGGUUGACUGCCUUGAUUCUGUAUGUCCUUUUUUGGUUGUGCACACCAAUUGUUUGAUGAAUUGCUAGAAGUAACUGUACGUUUUUUCGCUAUAUGUUUGAAGCACGUAAAAUGUGAUUUAGCCAUGCUUUCAAAAAUCACUCAUGAAAGCUUUUAAAGAUGAGGUGAAGUAGUCCAGUUGACCAAAUGUGGUGGCCUAUCACACACCGAGGUGGCCCUCUGUUGAUUGCUCUGGCGUCUUGCUGAAUUAUGCGUGUUGCAGGGAGGAGGGACAAACAUUGUCUGGGAGGCAGGCAAGGAGGGAGGCCAAUCUUAGUUCAUCUAAUUGUUUGAUCGGUCUCCUGAUGGACGCCAUGGAGGUUGAUGUUAAGUGAGCAGGCAGUUUGUCAUUGUUCGUGAAUCGUCUGUUUAGUCUUCCUCCUUGCUUUGUCCGUGCUCAGCUUUAUAAUAAGUACACUAUGGUAUGACUUCCUAUGAGAACUUUAGGUAAUCUGUGCAACCGGCGGGCUAACCCAUAUGAUAGGAUUGCUUGGGGUGACAUAGAGGUUAAUUAAAUUAAUCUUUAGUUCUUCUCUUGUCAUAUUUUCAUCAGUCAACCUCUAAGGCUUUAGGUUCAAGAAAAAUGAAUGUAAAACGACAAGGAAGGUCCUGAUCAGAUGUGUUGGCUGCUGCGGCUAGUGGUGCUUUGGGCACGCAAGGGGAGCACGAGUGCACGACUCACAACCUCUGCCUGCUCAAGAUGUGCCACAGCCACGCCGGCCUCGGCGGCAGGCGCAACGACUGGUCGCACUAUGUCGAACUAGAAUUCCCUGCACGGACGUGAUCCAGUUUAUCAUCUGCAUUGUGCCCUCCGUCCUGGACACUCUCCCUGGCAUCUACGACAACAGUCAGUACUUCUUCGAUGUCGCGAGAGGGAUGUGGACUGCACGAUGGCGAGCAAAACAAGAACGACCUGGAAAACCUCGACGAUGGGUGGAUGAGCAGCUGCUCUGUAGUGGCAAAUCCUCGUGGCUGCAAUACAAUGACAUGGAGAGGUGCUAGAUACAGUCCUAAGAUUGCUUGUUUAUUUGCCGAAUUUGAUACACUUUUGAAGAAGCCAGUGUAUGUGUAGUGCAUCUUGUAAGCAGGUAGAUAGCUCACUGCUACCCCCCUUUGUUUAUACUUUCACCUCUAAGGCUUUGGCUGCCAUUCAUUAAAAAAAUCCUAAGCUGUACAUGCAUAUGUGCUACCAAUUAGAGCCACAACCAGCUGAAAA